CCUACGGGAGGCUGCAGUGAGGAAUAUUGGUCAAUGGACGAGAGUCUGAACCAGCCAAGUAGCGUGAAGGAUGACUGCCCUAUGGGUUGUAAACUUCUUUUAUAUGGGAAUAAAACGUUCCACGUGUGGGAUUUUGUAUGUACCAUAUGAAUACGGAUCGGCUAACUCCGUGCCAGCAGCCGCGGUAAUACGGGGGAUCCGAGCGUUAUCCGGAUUUAUUGGGUUUAAAGGGAGCGUAGGUGGAUUGUUAAGUCAGUUGUGAAAGUUUGCGGCUCAACCGUAAAAUUGCAGUUGAAAAUGGCAGUCUUGAGUACAGGAGAGGUGGGUGGAAUUCGUGGUGUAGCGGUGAAAUGCUUAGAUAUCACGAAGAACUCCGAUUGCGAAGGCAGUUCACUGGAAUUCAACUGACACUGAGGCUCGAAAGUGUGGGUAUCAAACAGGAUUAGAUACCCUUGUAGUC
rnacentral:rRNA from 1 species